rnacentral:sRNA from 1 species
AGCAGGAGCGGAGGGAAGAGGGGAGAGAAGGCACCGCUAAGGACCAGUGGCCCCGCCAGGCGGCCGACCUCCCCAUUCCAGGGGCGCCAGCCGGCGGAUUACAUAACGGGCCUCGGGGCGCACUCUCGCGAGGUUUCCACCGCCCCCUCCUCGCUCCACGUCAGAGGGAACCGGGCGGAGCGGCCAACAUGGCGGAACGCAGGAGACACAAGAAGCGGAUCCAGAGGCUGUGGAGUAAUGUGACAGUGGCAGAGAGCUAAAACUUGAGCCAAACUGCCUGUUUGUACCCCACCUCCACCAGUUAUUGGCUGAGUAACUUUGAGCAAGUUAAUUUUUACCUCCCUGUCUGCAUCGGUAAGAAAA